UACGUAGGGGGCAAGCGUUGUCCGGAUUUAUUGGGCGUAAAGAGCGUGUAGGCGGCUUUACAGGUCCGUUGUGAAAACUCGAGGCUCAACCUCGAGACGCCGGUGGAAACCGUAAGGCUAGAGUCCGGAAGAGGAGAGUGGAAUUCCUGGUGUAGCGGUGAAAUGCGCAGAUAUCAGGAGGAACACCGGUGGCGAAGGCGGUUCUCUGGGACGGUACUGACGCUGAGACGCGAAAGCGUGGGGAGCGAACAGG
rnacentral:rRNA from 1 species